rnacentral:misc_RNA from 1 species
AACUCUCAAGCUUCUGCUUGGUAUUGAGGGAUGUCUUCUGGAAGACACCUUUCCAACUUGUCAGUGCGGGAUAAACCAACAUCAAACGUAGCAAGUCGUCGUUUAGUUGUCUGGCGAAUCACUGCCUGGAAAAUAAAUCUCCUUCUUCAA